CGAGAGUUCAAAUGCAGUAAAUGUUACAGCUAUCAAUAUUAAGCUAAGUAAACAUUCGUCAGUUACAUUAUAAAGGAAGAUCUAUAGGCUACUUAGCCAGGCAGCUUGAGAGUUCAAAAGCUGUAAAUGUUACAGCUAUCAAUAUUAAGCUAAGCAAACUAACAUCAGUUACAUUAUUAAGCAUGUGGAACAACGUCUUAUACAUAAUGCGCUGGGUAACGAACACAAUCGUUUAUAUUCUGACAAUUAUAUUUCUGCUGCUACGUGUAGCCUGCUAAGCAGCCCAGUGGGGACUCGUUCAUUUGACUGACAGUUGCCAUUUUGAUAUAUUCAAGUAUAUCUGAAUUAAAA